rnacentral:rRNA from 1 species
AACGAACGCUGGCGGCGUGCCUAACACAUGCAAGUCGAACGGGGUGAGGGAGCUUGCUUCUUCAUCUAGUGGCGCACGGGUGAGUAACGCGUGGAUAAUCUGCCUGAUGCUCUGGGAUAACAUCUCGAAAGGGGUGCUAAUACCGGAUAAGCCCACGAGCUCUUCGGAGUUUGCGGGAACAGGGGGGGACCUUCGGGCCUUCCGACAUCAGAUGAGUCCGCGUCCCAUUAGCUAGUUGGUGGGGUAAAGGCCUACCAAGGCGACGGUGGGUAGCUGGUCUGAGAGGAUGAUCAGCCACACUGGAACUGAGACACGGUCCAGACUCCUACGGGAGGCAGCAGUGGGGAAUUUUGCGCAAUGGGGGCAACCCUGACGCAGCAACGCCGCGUGAGUGAUGAAGGCCUUUGGGUCGUAAAGCUCUGUCAGAGGGAAAGAAAUGUGGGCGGCUAAUAUCCGUUCCACUUGACGGUACCCUCAAAGGAAGCACCGGCUAACUCCGUGCCAGCCGCCGCCGUAAGAC